CCGAGAUAGGGUGUCUUUUCCAAACGAGAGCGCCCGAACCUCCAACCCUUUGCUUACUUGACCUUUUGUUGCUUCGGCAGGCCCGUCCUCUCUACGGGACCGCCGGGGGCGAGUCUCCUCGCCUCUGGCCCGUUUGCCUGCCGACGGCCCCAAAAUUCAAAAUUCUUUGUUUAAAAACGUGUCGUCUGAGUACAACAUUUUUUGUUACAAACACAAAAUAAAACAAA
rnacentral:misc_RNA from 1 species